CAGCCGCCGCGGUAAAACGUAGGUCCCGAGCGUUGUCCGGAUUUAUUGGGCGUAAAGCGAGCGCAGGCGGUUAGAUAAGUCUGAAGUUAAAGGCUGUGGCUUAACCAUAGUACGCUUUGGAAACUGUUUAACUUGAGUGCAAGAGGGGAGAGUGGAAUUCCAUGUGUAGCGGUGAAAUGCGUAGAUAUAUGGAGGAACACCGGUGGCGAAAGCGGCUCUCUGGCUUGUAACUGACGCUGAGGCUCGAAAGCGUGGGGAGCAAACAGGAUUAGAUACCCGAGUAGUCCCUGUCUCUUAUACC
rnacentral:rRNA from 1 species